CGGGAAAACCCUGGAUCUCUAGCCCAGGCCCUAAGCCACGGACCCCCCCCCCACGCACGCACCCAAUCCCCCACUCUCCAGAACCCCCGGGAAGGCAGCUGGCCACCCGCGGUGACACCCACAUUUCUUGUCCUUUUACAGUUUUGGGGAGCAGGGAACCUCAGGCAUUGUGGCAGGGACACUACUGAAAACAGCCUCGUGAAAACUGACAAACUGAAGAAGUUUGCUUUCGGCCUGGCCUCAGCUUGGUUAGAAGUCUCACUGGGGUUCAUGAAGUCCCGUCCUUGGCACAUGGAUUAUUCAUUAGCGACGGUGAAAAGGCCCUGCACUAAUUUCAACAUAAACCUAACUGAGACGUCAGGAAGCCCAGCUUCAUCCACAUCCAAGCAGGAAGUUGCAGACGUGUCCAUGAAUCUCUGCUGCUGUGGACGGGUGAAACUCUAAGGAAGCAUAACACCAAAUGAGAACCAAAAUAUGGCCUUCCGGCGGGUGGAUCAGGAGGUCAAGAGAUUGAGACCAUUCUGGUCAACAUGGUGAAACCCCAUCUCUACUAAAAAUACAAAAAAUUAGCUGGGCAUGGUGGCGCGUGCCUGUAAUCCCAGCUACUCAGGAGGCUGAGGCAGGAGAAUUGCCUGAACCCAGGAGGCGGAGGUUGCGGUGAGCAGAGAUUGCACCAUUGCACUCCAGCCUGGGUAACAAGAGCGAAACUCCGUCUCAAAAAAAAAAAAAAAAAAAAAAAAAGACAGAGAAUCCAUUGUGAAGUCACCAGAGUUUAAAAAUAUUCUUCUUAGGGUCACACUUAGAUUCCCCGUGAAGUACACACAGUUAAUAAGAAAACAUGGGUGUGUCUGAACUAAUGGCAUUACCUGCAGAACUGAAUGAUUUGACUAUUCACACUUGUUGGAAUUAAAAGCUUAAUCAAAGCCAUUUCUGUCUUUGCUACAGAUUUGAUGUCCUUCGAGGAAAUUAUGAGAUUGUCAAAUUUAAAAAGAUGAAUGUCGAAGUAUAAAUUAUGAGCUUGUUGACCAUCCUUCAACAUGUAAGAGAAAAAUACAUAAGCCUCUUUGUAAAGGCUUAAUAUUGGCGACGUAACUAACACACCAGGCAGCUGUCUGCUUUCCAGGUGAAGGGUAGAUGCUGCCUCCUUCAGUUCCAGGGCCAAUGUAGCUAAACUUCAUUAUAGACUAACAACGUGAAAAGCUUAGGGGAAAAGAGACUUGUUUACAAAAACUACCUUGCAAAUUGUACUUUUUCACUUCUAGUUUUCCCGUGACGGAGACAAUUUUGGAAGCAUGUGUAGGUAACAGUCAAAAAAAAACUGUCUUCCACAUCUUUGGACUUUUAAAGUCACUUUCUAAGCUUCUGCAGUCUGUCAAGUAACUUGUGGUGGGACUGACUCUCCUCUGUAAAGGAAACUGUGCUAAGUCACAGCCUGAAGGCCCCA
rnacentral:lncRNA from 13 species